rnacentral:lncRNA from 1 species
AAGAUACUACAGCACUGAACCAUCAGCUUCCUCUGUAAUGUACAUACCAAUCACAUCCACUCCUCGAUCCACCAUGCAUCCAUACACAUAGCAUGCAUAACACUAGCACGGAGUAGUACUUUACAACACAAAUUAAGUGCAUUGUCGACCAUUUCAACUAGAGAGACAUAUCGUCCCAUCAAUCAAUUUUACAUGCAUGCAUCAAUCUGCCUCCAGCACCAGCAGGCACACGUCGACUUAAUUAGCCGGAGAAGGUCUGGAUGAUGGUGUUGUGCCACGGGUCAGACAGGUGCUGGAACAGGUUGUCGAGCGGCCCUUUUCCGGUGACCGCGUGCUGCACCGAGAAACCCAGGUACGCCAGCAUCGCCAGCCUCCCUACAAAAUCACAAAACGACCAAUUAAAUUCCUUUUCCGUUUGAGAUCUGGCCGUAGGAACUACUCCAGUAACUGGAAGAAGGGCAUGUAUGUA